rnacentral:rRNA from 1 species
UUAAAACUUUUCAGCUAGAGUAUGAUAGAGGAAAGCAGAAUUUCUAGUGUAGAGGUGAAAUUCGUAGAUAUUAGAAAGAAUACCAAUUGCGAAGGCAGCUUUCUGGAUCAUUACUGACACUGAGGAACGAAAGCAUGGGUAGCGAAGAGGAUUAGAUACCCUCGUAGUCCAUGCCGUAAACGAUGUGUGUUAGACGUUGGAAAUUUAUUUUCAGUGUCGCAGGGAAACCGAUAAACACACCGCCUGGGGAGUACGACCGCAAGGUUAAAACUCAAAUGAAUUGACGGGGACCCGCACAAGUAGUGGAGCAUGUGGUUUAAUUCGAAGAUACGCGCAGAACCUUACCAACACUUGACAUGUUCGUCGCGACUCUAAGAGAUUAGAGUUUUCGGUUCGGCCGGACGAAACACAGGUGCUGCAUGGCUGUCGUCAGCUCGUGUCGUGAGAUGUUGGGUUAAGUCCCGCAACGAGCGCAACCCUCACUUUUAGUUGCCAUCAUUAAGUUGGGCACUCUGAAAGAACUGCCAGUGAUAAGCUGGAGGAAGGUGGGGAUGACGUCAAGUCCUCAUGGCCCUUACGUGUUGGGCUACACACGUGCUACAAUGGUAUCUACAACAGGAAGCAAGACUGCGAGGUCAAGCAAAUCCUUAAAAGAUACCUCAGUUCGGAUUGCACUCUGCAACUCGAGUGCAUGAAGCUGGAAUUACUAGUAAUCGUGGAUCAGCGUGCCACGGUGAAUGCGUUCCCGGGUCUUGUACACACCGCCCGUCACACCAUGGGAGUUGGUUCUACCUUAAGGCAAGGUUUAAAACCCUUGACCACGGUAUAGUCAGCGACUGGGGUGAAGUCGUAACAAGGUA